rnacentral:misc_RNA from 1 species
GUUAUAGCCUUGUAAUUUUUGGGUUAAAUAAUCCUGGGUUUUUUCUGUAGUUGUGGUAGAUUUGGGUUUGACAUUUAAAAAAGUCUGAAUUUUGUAUAGGUUUUCAAUGUAAGUUUGGGAUAUAUGGUUAUAUAUUUUCUUUUCCUUGUGUAGGCUGGCUGCAUAUGUAGAUGUUUGUGGUGUUGGGGUUUCUACUAUCUGUGCCUUUGGAAUAAAUGGUUUUGUAAAUAAGUUGUUUAGGUUUGUAUUUUUUGAUGUAGUUUUUUCCAUAGUUGCUGUACUUGUACCUGCAACACUAGCAAUGUUAAUGUUAUGGGUUUUAAGGAGUUUCCCA